UAGGAACUUCUUUCAAACUGGCUUCCUCUGCUAAUGUGCCUGUGGACUGCCCUGUGAAUCUUUGAUGGACCUUGAAUGAAGGUGUGCAUUUUCUUUCAAGAUCUCUCCAUUGUAUUUUUGUUUCCAUGGGAUUUGGGAAGUCUCAGCACAGAAGAGGUACUGACACCUUUACUUAUUUUCUUCUGUAGGUUUCUCGGCAGCUGGUGCUUAUCCAGAGUCUUAACCUUCUUGAGGUUAAACAGUUUCUGAUAACUGACUGCCUGUAUCUUCUGAAUUGCUUUUUCAUGCCUGCUGCCCAUUUUUCUGCUGGGUUGUUAGUCUUACUGACUUUUGAUAGUGCUUUCUCUCUAUAAAAUGUCACAAUUGUUUUUUCCCAGUUUAUUAUUUGACUUAACUACUUUGUGGUGUUUUGGUCUUUCAAAUUUUUAUCUUUAAUACAGGCAAUGCAAUCAACCUA